rnacentral:rRNA from 1 species
UACAGAGGUGGCAAGCGUUGUUCGGAAUUACUGGGCGUAAAGGGCUCGUAGGCGGCCAACUAAGUCAGACGUGAAAUCCCUCGGCUUAACCGGGGAACUGCGUCUGAUACUGGAUGGCUUGAGAUUGGGAGAGGGAUGCGGAAUUCCCAGUGUAGAGGUGAAAUUCGUAGAUAUUGGGAAGAACACCGGUGGCGAAGGCGGCGACCUGGUCCAUUACUGACGCUGAGGCGCGACAGCGUGGGGAGCAAACAGG